rnacentral:rRNA from 1 species
UACGUAGGGUGCGAGCGUUAAUCGGAAUUACUGGGCGUAAAGCGUGCGCAGGCGGUUUUGUAAGCCAGAUGUGAAAUCCCCGGGCGUAACCUGGGAAUGGCAUUUGGGACUGCAAGGCUCGAGUGCGGCAGAGGAGACUGGAAUUCCUGGUGUAGCAGUGAAAUGCGUAGAUAUCAGGAGGAACACCGAUGGCGAAGGCAGGUCUCUGGGCUGACACUGACGCUCAUGCACGAAAGCGUGGGGAGCAAACAGG